rnacentral:lncRNA from 1 species
GGUGUGCGCCCCCGGCGCUGGAGCAGCCGCGUUUCGGGGACCCGGGCAGGCGUGGGGGGCUGCGCUGAGCUCCAGGCCUCCUGCAGGUGCAAUAAGAAUCGUAUUACUAAUGUGGUGUCCUCUGGAAUGGUCACAUGAACACAGUUCCCUGCAGAUGUAAUUGGGAGAGAAGGCACAGUCCUGACACAGGGUAAGACUGUGGAGGUGUAUUGCUGUCCCUACCAGGUAAAAUAAUAUUGCUUCUGGUGGUUUUAUUGGGAAAGAGACAACACAUUUACCAAACUGAUAGCUGCAUAUUGGGUGCUGGGGGCUGUGUUGAUUUGCUACAGUCAUAAAACUAUGUCUAGAACAAAAGCUGCAAUGGAAGCCAUCUAUUGACUAAAUUAACAGUGAACCCUUAUUAUCCUCCAACAGCCAUAUGUGUUCUACAUAGGUGAAGCAGGGGAGUUAAGUGGCCGUAAUAGGAAAUGUCAUCUCUACAUCUUUUUUGUUUGUUUGUUUUGUUUUUUUUUUUAGACAGAGUCUUACUCUGUCGCCCAGGCUGGGGGGCAGUGGCGUGAUCUUGGCUCACUACAAGCUCUGCCUCCUGGGUUCAUCCCAUUCUCCUCCUCAGCCUCCCGAGUAGCUGGAACUACAAGUGCCCGCCACCAAGCCCGGCUAAUUUUUUGUAUUUUUAGUAGAGACAGGGUUUCACUGUGUUAGCCAGGAUGGUCUUGAUCUCCUGACCUCAUGAUCCACCUGCCUCGGCCUCCCAAAGUGCUGGGAUUACAGGCAUGAGCCACCACGCCCGGCCAUCUCUACAUCUUUCAAGUCUUUGGCAGUUCAUUCAGGGAUGUGAUGUUGCUUUUGAUAACUCUUGAUAGGAAGAAGUGGUUCCAGGGUUUUCCACUUGCUCCUUCUUACCUAAAUAGUCCUCACUUCCUGGGCCAGGGAUGAGUGUGGGGAUUCUGUAGCUGGGUGUUUCUGCAUACAUUCAUAGAGUUUCUGCAUAGAGAGUGCUCUGCAUUCAGAAACCCAGGAAAUGCUACAGGAUAAGUUUAUAGACCUACAAGGUACAUCAUGAGAAGCACGUGAGCCAAAACUCCACUUAUCACUUGACUCCUAUAACCCCAACUCUGAAAGCAGAGUUCAAGCAACUGUUGCGUCACCUCUUGCUACAGAGCACCAGGGUCCCACCUUCUGAUGUGAAUGAGACCUCCUGUGCUUCAAGCCCAGCCAAGUCAGAUAACUUAGUGGUCUUCAAAUUUUUUUCUGCAUACACUCCUGAAGACAAUUUAGAAAAAAUUUAGAAAAAUAAUGUACCCUUCACCCACUUUUUUUUUUUCUGAGAUGGAGUCUCACUUUGUUGCCAGGAUAGAGUGCAGUGGCAGGAUCUUGGCUUACUGCAACCUCUGCCUCCUGGGUUCGAGCAAUUCCCCUGCCUCAGCCUCCCAAGUAGCUGGGACUACAGGCAUGCGCCACCACUCCUGGCUAAUUUUUGUAUUUUUAGUAGAGACAGCGUUUCACCAUGUUGGCCAGGAUGAUCUCAAUCUCCUGACCUCACCUUCACCCACUUUUUAACUUGACAUCUCACCUUUUCCUGAUAAGUGUAAAUAGUUGAAAUGGAUCACAGAACAUUAGAAGUUUAAAAAAAGCUAACAUGACAAAACCUAAGAAAGAGAUCUUUUUAUUGAAGAUCUGCCUGAUUCAUCUCUAUUAUGUUUUUACGUAGACUGGCUUCUGGUUGUGUACAUUUCCAACCUUAUUUCUUCUCUACUGUCCACACAUUCAUGGUGCUGGUCACCACAGAAAAUGAAUAUCACAGCAUGACUUCUGGUCCUCAGGACCGUGGGCAGAGGGAGUAUUUCUAGAAAUCAUUUUUACACUAGAGGGGCUAGCAAUAACAUAAUCAUAUGUGGAAGUUACUGCACCAGUAAAUACAUCCUCUGAAACCCCAACUAACUUGUUUAUCCCAAUUCAAUUAGUGGACUUUCAAAAGCACCCAUGGCCACUGCAAUGCCACCACACAUGGGGAGAAGAAAGACAAAGGGGAGUGUAAAAAGAGGUAUUAAUCCUUAAGGUUGAAAGGUCUUACUCUUGUAAAUUUUACUAAAAUAUGUGACCCAGAAGAGCCAUUUCUAGGCCUUGGGGGUGGCCUGUGCUAGUGAAAGCCUCUGAAGAUUGGGGUUUGUUAGCUACGGGGUGAAUCUACCGCUGCACUGUCAAUAGGGACAUUAUGAUAAAAAUGUCAUGUAACUUUGUGAAAAGUAUCCAUGGAGCCUAAACACUAUAAUGACAUGCUAUCCAUCAUCAUUUACUUUGAAAUAUUUGAACAAUCUCUUUAAUUUUCGAAAAUUUUUCAAAAUUUUGAAAAUUUGUCUUUUUACUCUUGAACAUAUAAAGUUCCAUUUCACUUUCUUCUUAGGAUUCCUUCAUAAUGUAAUGUGUGUGUGUGUGUGUGUGUAUGUAUAUAUAUAUUUUUAGACAGGGUCUCACUCUGUUGCUCCAGCUGAAGUACGUAGUGCAAUCACAGCUCACUGCAGCUUUGAACUCCUGGGCUUAAGCCAUCCUCCCACCUCAGCCUCCUGACCAGCUGGGGUUACAGACAUGUGCCACCACACCCAGCUAAUUGCUUUUUCAUUUCUUUUGUAGAGAUAGAGGGUCUCACUGUGUUUCCCACGCUGGUCUCGAACUCCUGGUCUCAAACAGUCCUCCCAUCUCAGCCUCCCAAAGUGCUGUGAUUAUAGGUGUGAGCCACUGUGCCCAGCCUAAUGUAUAUUUUUAACAGCUUUAUUAAGAUAUAAUUUAUCUAUUGUACAAUUCACAUAAGUAAAGUGUGCUAUUGAAUGGCUUUUAAUAUAUUCACAGACUUUUACAUCGUGACCACAAUAUAUGUUAGAACAUUUUUAUUUCAAAAGAAGCCCUACACCCCUCAGCUAUCACCCCGGCAAUUGUUCCAUCUCCCUCAACCCCACCCAGUUCUAGGUCACCAUUAAUUCACUUUCUGUCUCUAUGGAGUUGCUCACUCCAAGCAUUUAUAUGUAAAUGGAAUCAUGCAGUAUGCUAUCCUUUGAGACUGGCUUCCUUCAGUUACAAGGUUCAUCCUAUACUUACGCUUGAAACAUUUAUUAAUCACCCUUUUCUGCAACCAAAAAUGUAUGUGAAUCGAAAUUGUAAAGUGUUCUUUAUUUCCUGCCACCAAAAGACUUUAGGAAUUUAAAGUAUUUUCUGGGUCAUGAUUACAAUGGUUGUUAUCAUGCAACUUAUGAAAACAACAUAAAUGUUAUAAACGUUGCUAAAAAAAUUGUGUUAAUUCAAAGAGUGAAAUUUUAUUGGAAAUGUCUCACUUACAUGAUGAGUUUUUAAAAUUUUCUCUGUCUUUCUCUCUCUCGGGAUCUCACUUUGCUGCCCAGCCUGGAGUGCAGUAGUGUAAUCUCGGCUCACUGCAGCCUCAAACUUCUGGGCUCGAGCGAUCCUCUCACCUCAGCCUCCUGAGUAGCUGGGACUACAGGAGUUCGAGAGCAACCUGACCAACAUGUGAAACCCCGUCUCUGCUAAAAAUACAAAAUUAGCUGGGUGUGGUGGUGCACGCCUGUAAUCCCAGCUAUUCGGGAAGCUGAGGCAGGAGAAUUGCUUGAACCUGGGAGGUGGAGGUUGCAGUGAGCCGAGAUCACGCCAUUGCACUCCAGCCUGGGCAACAAGAGUGAAAUUCCAUCUCGAAAAAAAAAAAAAAAAAAUGAGCCGGGCUUGGUGGUGCACGCCUGUAGUCCUGGCUACUUGGGAGGCUGAUGCGGGAGGAUCGCUCCCAGUCCAGGAGGUUGAGGCUACCUUGAGCUAUGCUUGCACCACUAUACUCUAGCCUGGGCCACAGAGUGAGACUUGGUCUCUAAAAAAACAAAAAUUAAUUAAUUAAAAAUAAAAUAAGAUAAAAAAUUAAAAACAAAGACCAUAAAUGCCAUGAGUUAUGUUUGUUUUUUCUAAAAUUUUAUUCCCAGCAUAGGGAAUAAAUGCAGAAGAGGUGCUUCAUAAAUAUGUACUGAAUUAACAGAUAAAACGAGGGUUCAUAAUAAGAACCUAGACUCCUUGGAGGGUCCAUGAGAAGGUUUUUCUUUGUGUCUGCGUGACAAAUUGUCAGUCCCAGGAUGGUGCCAGAAGUAAAGUUGGGUCAUUGGAGGGUGACUUUGACAACGUCUGACAUCUGCAGAGAAGAGGCAGAUGUUUCGAUCACCUAGCCGACACUGUUCAUGACGUCAAAGGCCACGGUGGCUUUACAGCUACAAUCUCAACAGCAACAAGAAUUUAAUGAGGGCCGAUUAUGUGCAAGAUACUAUAGUAAGUGCUUAAUAUUCAUUAUCUCAUGUAAUCCUUACAAUAGGCCUUGGGGUAGCUUUUAUUAUUCCUAUUUAUAAGUGAGUAAACGUUGUCUCAGGUAGGUAAGUGACCAACCCAAGGUCCUUGGAUUAGAGCCUAGUUGAAUUUUCACUUGAGCCAUUUACUCUGGCCACAGAAUAGGAACAUUGGAAGGAAAUCCAGAGGACUUGGUGAUAUGGUUUGGAUCUAUGUCCCCACCCAAAUCUCAUGCUCAAUUGUAAUCCCCAAUAUUGGAGGUGGGGCCUGGUGGGUGGUGAUUGGAUCACAGGGCUGGUUUCUCAUGGUUUAGCAUUUGGUACUGUAUAGUGAGUGAGUUCUCAUGAGGUCUGGUUGUUUAACAGUGUAUGGCAUUUCCCCCUCCUUCUUCCUCCUGCUCUGGCCAUGUGAGGUGUCUGCUUGCCCUUUGCCUUCCACCAUGUCUGUAGGCUUCCUGAGGACUCUCCAGAAGCCAAGCAGAUGCUGGCACCAUGCUUCCUGUACAGUCUGCAGAACUGUGAGCCAAUUAAAUCCCUUUUCUUUAUAAAUUGCCUAGUCUCAGGUAUUUCUUUAUAACAGUGUGAGAACAGACUAAUAUGCUUGGGCUCUGGACCCAGCUCUGCUGCUGCCUGCCCUGGCUUGGUGGACGUCGCCAGCCUCUCUCCUGCCCUGCCCACAAAGAGAAGUGUACUUCCCAGCCACUGCUCGGGGACAGUCACGCGGCCAACUCUGCCCAACAGGCAGUGAGUGGAGAUGACUUGUGCUCUGUGUGGGUGAAGCACUUUGAUCGCUGGUCGCCUCCUUUUCUCUCACCGUGAGACGGAGGAGACACGUGUUCGCCAGCCUCCCAGAUGAGAAGGCCGUGUGCUUUGAUGCUGUGGCUGUAAGAUGAAAGAGCCUCCAUCCUAGGUCCCAAACAGGGCUGUAGAGCAGAAUUUUGUGCAACUCAUGUUGGAUACCAUGUGAGCAAGAGCACACGUGUAUGUUGAGGCACUGGGAUUUUAGGAUUGUUUGUCAACAUAGGUAACCCAGGUUAUUGUGACUAAUGCAUUUGAUCCACUCUUGUUAAUCCUCUAAGUAUCGGUUUUGCCAUCUGUAACUGAUGAUAAUAAUAUCUAUCAGCCAGCUAUCUGGGGGCUGUUAAAAGAGAUAAGGGAGGAAAUGGUUCCCUCCAGGUCUAACAUUCUCCAGAACCAUCUAGCUUAGUGAAAUGGCAUGCUCUAAAAAUAGAGUUUUCUUCAUGACCAUUGUAUUAUGUGCUUAAGGUCUUAAGAUCUGACCCUCUGUAUUCGCAGAUUUGAUGACAAAGAGCCGGAACUAGAGAUGUCCAGGGCUUCCUGUGGCUUUGGGUUGGGAUUUUUCCAAGCUUCUGUCAGAGGUCAAUUCUGUUAUUUUGAGAAAGGUGUUGCAGUGAGCCUUGUUUUUGUCUCUCCCUACCCUUGUAAUGCAAAAUAUGGGAGGUAUAGACCAUUCCCAAAGCUGCCCUGUGGGUUAUUAAAUAGUGACUGCAGUCAGGGCUGGUGUGGAAGACAUUUCGCAAGCUCCCUAAUAUUUUUAUUCUCCCCUUCUUGGACAUAACGGAGGAUUACAUUUCUCCAACUUCCCAGAGCCUUGCUUUGGCUAAUGAGAUGGGAGUGGCAGGGACACAGGUCACUUUUGGGUGGAGGCAUGGAAGAGCUGCUGGGAGACUUCUAUGUUCUCUCUACCCACAGCAGUGAACUUGAAGACUGUCUGGGGAGAUGGCCAUGACCUCAGAUGGUGAAACUCUGUCAGCCGAAGUCUCUGACUGGCUGAGGUGAGCAGAGCACCCUUCUGCAGAACAGCUGUGGACAUGUGGUGUAGGCAGGAAGUCAACCAUUGUUGUUUUGAGCCAUGGAGAUUUGGCCAUUGGUUCCUAUUGCAGAAUAAAUUAGUUUGAACUGGCUAAUUCCAUUAGGACUGAGACAAAAUAGCAAUAUUAGACCUCUGGACUGGGAGGCAGCAGUCUUGGAUUUUAGGUCUCACUGGGGGAACCAUGGACUUGGUCUCCCUGGGCUUCAGCUUCCUCAUCAGUACAUAAAGGGAAAUGAACUACAUUUUCUCUCAAUCAUCUGAUGAUUCUAAUAGUUUCUCUAUUUGUCUCUCUCUCUCUCUCUUACUCUUUUCCUCUCCUUCUCUCAUCCAUCCACUCACCCUUCCACCUAUCCAUCCAUCCGUCCAUCCAUCCAUCCACCCAUCCACUCAUCCAUCCACCCAUCCACUCAUCCAUACACCCAUCCACUCAUCCAUCCAUCCACCCACCCAUCCACUCACCCAUCCAUCCACCCACCCACCCAUCCAUCCAUCCACCCAUUCAUCUACCCACCCAUCCGUUCACCCAUGUACUCAUCCAUCCAUCCAUCCACCCACCAGUCCACUCAUCCAUCCACCGACCCACCCAUCCAUCUACCUAUCCACUCAUCCAUCCACUCUUCCACCCACCCAUCAGUUUAUUCUUCUAUUUACCCAUCCUUCCAUUCACCCAUCCACACACCCAUCAAUCCCUCUAUCUCUUUAUUUAUUCAUCCAUCCUUAUUCUAAAGACCAAAGCAAGUGACUGAAUCAUGAUAUUUUCACAAAAUUCAACUAAUAUUUUACUUAAUUAACAUCGUAUGCAAAAGUUACCUUAAAAGAAGAAAGCAAACUUAUCAUGAACUUUUCCUUAGAUGACAUUAUUUCUGAGAGGAAGAAGAAUCCAACAUUUUCAUUGUGAGAAAACCUUUUGUUUCUAAGGUGGGCCUUGCUUCAUUUUGUUUGCACAUAGAAAGAAUAAGGAGCUCUUGAGUUGGGGUCAGACAGCUGGAAAAGAUAUUUAAUCAAACAUAUUCUAAUCAAAAUAGUUUUGCUUCCCUUCUUACAUCAAUUUACUGACUCAAAAAUAAACUUCCUCUUAUUGAAACUUGAUUCCUGACAGAUGGAGAAAAAGGGGUAGGAACCUGGAGAAAAGAUCACAACUGAGUGACUUGGCAACCUCGUGGUGAGAGUCUCCAUCCAAAAGGGCAAGCAGGCAAGAAAAUGAGAAUAAGAUUUACAGGAGAAAUUUAUAUCAUGAAAGCAAAGAUUGGUGCAAACCCACGUGUAUAACACUUUAAGGAAUCUGGCAA